rnacentral:rRNA from 3 species
AAAUUGAAGAGUUUGAUCAUGGCUCAGAUUGAACGCUGGCGGCAGGCCUAACACAUGCAAGUCGAACGGUAACAGGAAGCAGCUUGCUGCUUCGCUGACGAGUGGCGGACGGGUGAGUAAUGUCUGGGAAACUGCCUGAUGGAGGGGGAUAACUACUGGAAACGGUAGCUAAUACCGCAUAAUGUCGCAAGACCAAAGAGGGGGACCUUC